ensembl:misc_RNA Y_RNA Y RNA
GGGUAGUCCAAUAGUGGGUCAUUAGAACUCAUUAACAUUAGCGUUACUAAAGUUGGUAUACAAUACCUCACUGCUAAAUUUAACUGGCUUUAU